AACAAGAAGCAUAAAAUCCUCACAAAGCUCUCAGAAUAACCUCCAAGGAGACUUUCUACUGCUAUCAGCCACUACAGGAUGCUACCAAUCACUCUCUCAAAACUCUACUACCAUUUAUCCCUUUAAAAGCCCUAAAUCAGAGUUCAAAUUGCAUCCAACAUGUACAAAGAGUUCUGUUAGGACUCUAUAACCCAUCUAAACCAUCUGAUUGCACCCGCAAGCUUCUAUAGUCACUCGAUCGUGUGUUUCGUAUGAUGGACCAUGCAUAGACCGCAUGAAGUGCCUCUGUGGACUGCGUCUCUCCCUCCUGGACUGCUCGAUCCUUGUGAAAUGUGGUGGACCACAUGAGGUGCAUGCCUGGACCAUACCUCACGCAUCCUAGGCCGUGCAUGGACCAUGUGGUGGAUCGCACGUCCGUCUAGAAUGCAUGUGCCUGUGAGCCAC
rnacentral:lncRNA from 1 species